rnacentral:rRNA from 1 species
GACGAACGCUGGCGGCGUGCCUAAUACAUGCAAGUUGAGCGCUGAAGGUUGGUACUUGUACCAACUGGAUGAGCAGCGAACGGGUGAGUAACGCGUGGGGAAUCUGCCUUUGAGCGGGGGACAACAUUUGGAAACGAAUGCUAAUACCGCAUAAAAACUUUAAACACAAGUUUUAAGUUUGAAAGAUGCAAUUGCAUCACUCAAAGAUGAUCCCGCGUUGUAUUAGCUAGUUGGUGAGGUAAAGGCUCACCAAGGCGAUGAUACAUAGCCGACCUGAGAGGGUGAUCGGCCACAUUGGGACUGAGACACGGCCCAAACUCCUACGGGAGGCAGCAGUAGGGAAUCUUCGGCAAUGGACGAAAGUCUGACCGAGCAACGCCGCGUGAGUGAAGAAAGGUUUUCGGAUCGUAAAAACUCUGUUGGUAGAGAAAGAAACGGUG